rnacentral:rRNA from 1 species
AACGAACGCUGGCGGCAGGCUUAACACAUGCAAGUCGAGCGCCCCGCAAGUGCAUCGGCAGACUGGUGAGUAACGCGUGGGAACGUACCUUUUGGUUCGGAACAACUCCGGGAUACUGGAGCUAAUACCGGAUAAGCCCUAACGGGGAAAGAUUUAUCGCCGAAAGAUCGGCCCGCGUCUGAUUAGCUAGUUGGUGAGGUAACGGCUCACCAAGGCGACGAUCAGUAGCUGGUCUGAGAAGAUGAUCAGCCACACUGGGAAUGAGACACGGACCAGACUGCUACGGGAGGGAGCAGUGGGGAAUAUUGGACAAUGGGCGCAAGCCUGAUCCAGCCAUGCCGCGUAAGUGAUGAAGGGCUUAGGGUUGUAAAGCUGUUUUGUACGGGAAGAGAAUGACUGUACCGGAAGAAUAAGCACCGGCUAACUUCGUG